GAUGAACGCUGGCGGCGUGCCUAAUACAUGCAAGUCGAGCGAACGGACGAGAAGCUUGCUUCUCUGAUGUUAGCGGCGGACGGGUGAGUAACACGUGGAUAACCUACCUAUAAGACUGGGAUAACUUCGGGAAACCGGAGCUAAUACCGGAUAAUAUUUUGAACCGCAUGGUUCAAAAGUGAAAGACGGUCUUGCUGUCACUUAUAGAUGGAUCCGCGCUGCAUUAGCUAGUUGGUAAGGUAACGGCUUACCAAGGCAACGAUGCAUAGCCGACCUGAGAGGGUGAUCGGCCACACUGGAACUGAGACACGGUCCAGACUCCUACGGGAGGCAGCAGUAGGGAAUCUUCCGCAAUGGGCGAAAGCCUGACGGAGCAACGCCGCGUGAGUGAUGAAGGUCUUCGGAUCGUAAAACUCUGUUAUUAGGGAAGAACAUAUGUGUAAGUAACUGUGCACAUCUUGACGGUACCUAAUCAGAAAGCCACGGCUAACUACGUGCCAGCAGCCGCGGUAAUACGUAGGUGGCAAGCGUUAUCCGGAAUUAUUGGGCGUAAAGCGCGCGUAGGCGGUUUUUUAAGUCUGAUGUGAAAGCCCACGGCUCAACCGUGGAGGGUCAUUGGAAACUGGAAAACUUGAGUGCAGAAGAGGAAAGUGGAAUUCCAUGUGUAGCGGUGAAAUGCGCAGAGAUAUGGAGGAACACCAGUGGCGAAGGCGACUUUCUGGUCUGUAACUGACGCUGAUGUGCGAAAGCGUGGGGAUCAAACAGGAUUAGAUACCCUGGUAGUCCACGCCGUAAACGAUGAGUGCUAAGUGUUAGGGGGUUUCCGCCCCUUAGUGCUGCAGCUAACGCAUUAAGCACUCCGCCUGGGGAGUACGACCGCAAGGUUGAAACUCAAAGGAAUUGACGGGGACCCGCACAAGCGGUGGAGCAUGUGGUUUAAUUCGAAGCAACGCGAAGAACCUUACCAAAUCUUGGCAUCCUUUGACAACUCUAGAGAUAGAGCCUUCCCCUUCGGGGGGGCAAAGUGACAGGUGGUGCAUGGUUGUCGUCAGCUCGUGUCGUGAGAUGUUGGGUUAAGUCCCGCAACGAGCGCAACCCUUAAGCUUAGUUGCCAUCAUUAAGUUGGGCACUCUAAGUUGACUGCCGGUGACAAACCGGAGGAAGGUGGGGAUGACGUCAAAUCAUCAUGCCCCUUAUGAUUUGGGCUACACACGUGCUACAAUGGACAAUACAAAGGGCAGCGAAACCGCGAGGUCAAGCAAAUCCCAUAAAGUUGUUCUCAGUUCGGAUUGUAGUCUGCAACUCGACUACAUGAAGCUGGAAUCGCUAGUAAUCGUAGAUCAGCAUGCUACGGUGAAUACGUUCCCGGGUCU
rnacentral:rRNA from 1 species